UACGUAGGGGGCAAGCGUUGUCCGGAAUCAUUGGGCGUAAAGAGCGUGUAGGCGGCCAGAUAAGUCCGCUGUGAAAUCUCGAGGCUCAACUUCGAGCUGUCGGUGGAAACUGUCUGGCUAGAGUCCGGAAGAGGAGAAUGGAAUUCCUGGUGUAGCGGUGAAAUGCGCAGAUAUCAGGAAGAACACCCGUGGCGAAGGCGGUUCUCUGGGACGGUAGCUGGACGCUGGAGACGCGAAAGCCGUGGGGAGCGAACAGG
rnacentral:rRNA from 1 species